CCUACGGGCGGCAGCAGUGAGGAAUAUUGGUCAAUGGCCGGAAGGCUGAACCAGCCAUGCCGCGUGAAGGUCAGUGCCCUAUGGGCGUUAAACUUCUUUUGUGCGGGAGCAAUAAUGGUCACGUGUGGCCAGACGAGAGUACCGUACGAAUAAGCAUCGGCUAACUCCGUGCCAGCAGCCGCGGUAAUACGGGGGAUGCAAGCGUUUUCCGGAUUUAUUGGGUUUAAAGGGUUCGUAGGCUGUGAGGUAAGUCAGCGGUGAAAUGCCCCCGCUCAACGGGGUGAAGUGCCAUUGAUACUGCCUGGCUGGAAUGCGGAUGCGGUGGGAGGAAUGUGUGGUGUAGCGGUGAAAUGCAUAGAUAUCACACAGAACACCGAUUGCGAAGGCAUCUCACGAAUCCGCGAUUGACGCUGAUGCACGAAAGCGUGGGUAUCAAACAGGAUUAGAUACCCGGGUAGUC
rnacentral:rRNA from 1 species